UACAGGGGGGGCAAGCGUUGUCCGGAAUUACUGGGCGUAAAGGGCGCGUAGGCGGCGCUGCAAGUCAGGCGUGAAAUUCCUGGGCUUAACCUGGGGGCUGCGCUUGAGACUGUGGUGCUGGAGGUCAGAAGAGGGUCGUGGAAUUCCCAGUGUAGAGGUGAAAUUCGUAGAUAUUGGGAAGAACACCGGUGGCGAAGGCGGCGACCUGGUCUGAUACUGACGCUGAGGCGCGACAGCGUGGGGAGCAAACAGG
rnacentral:rRNA from 1 species